GGGUGUGGCCUAAUGGUAAGGCAACGGACUUUGACUCCGUUGAUGCAGGUUCAAUUCCUGCCACU
rnacentral:tRNA from 1 species